rnacentral:lncRNA from 1 species
GUUGAAUUAGUCUAUAUGCCCAUAAUUUCAUUUGAAAUUCUCCAAAGCUUUUUUCUGUCAUAUUUUAUAUCAUUUAUCUUAGUUUCAUAAUACAGCGUUUCUUCUUCUUUUUGUUCAGUUUAGCCACAUAAUUUCUCGGUUUGCCAAUCAGAUGUGCAGACAGAUUUAUUAGCCACUCCUUUUGCGUCAUCUCUCUCAACCACACAGUUUUUCAGUUCCUCAUCAAUCCACGGCACCUUGGCAGAUCUAACAGUUCGUUUCUUAAUAGGGUUAUGUCUAUCAAUAACUGGAAGGAGAAAUUUCAUAAAUAUUUGUAGAUCUUUAGUUGUUGUGGAGCUUUUGUCCCGAACUCAUUACGGUGUUUUAGGUGCCAAGCUUAUUAUCAUGUCGCAGCUGUGUGUAGGAGGGAAAUUCCUAGAUGUGAGAAGUGUGCAUUAGGGCAUGAGACAAAGAAAUGUGUAGUGUUGGUGGAAAUAAAUGUUGUGUGUUAACUGUAGGGCACCUUAGUGGCACCUAGUGGCACCUGUAGUGGCACCUUCAUUGGGGAGAACAGGCUCGUGGUAAUGGCUGGAGCAGAAUCAGUGGAAUGGUAUCAAAUACAUGGAAACCAUGUGUUUGAUGCCAUUCCAUUUGCUCCGUUCAAAACAUUAUUAUGAGCCGUCCUCACCUCAGCAGUGUCCACUGUUGUAGGCACUGUUGUAGGGGUACCCAUGGUGCUGGAGUUCAGAAGUGUUGGUUAUGAACUAUACCGCAGAAAUGAAACGUGAAUCACAGAAAAUAGAUGUGGUGGCAGCUGCAUAGAAGGACUUGGGUCUAUGGGAUUUUACUGCAUUAGAGUUACAAGGUGUGUUCAACAAUAGUGUUCCGUUCUCCCAGUCUUCCAGCUUGGAGUAGAAUCAGAUAGGACCAAGUAGUGGAAUAGUGGUGAGGUUUUAAUGGGUGUAGGGUUAGUUGGUAUAGUGGUGAAGUUUUAAUGGGUGUAGGGUUAGUUGGUAUAGUGGUGAGGUUUUAAUGGGUGUAGGGUUAGUUGGUAUAGUGGUGAAGUUUUAAUGGGUGUAGGGUUAGUUGGUAUAGUGUUGAGGUUUUAAUGGGUGUAGGGUUAGUUGGUAUAGUGGUGAGGUUUUAAUGGGUGUAGGGUUAGUUGGUAUAGUGGUGAGGUUUUAAUGGGUGUAGGGUUAGUUGGUAUAGUGGUGAAGUUUUAAUGGGUGUAGGGUUAGUCAGUAG